AACGAACGCUGGCGGCAUGCCUAACACAUGCAAGUCGAACGAGACCUUCGGGUCUAGUGGCGCACGGGUGCGUAACGCGUGGGAACCUGCCCUUAGGUUCGGAAUAACUCCCCGAAAGGGGUGCUAAUACCGGAUAAUGUCUUCGGACCAAAGAUUUAUCGCCUUUGGAUGGGCCCGCGUUGGAUUAGCUAGUUGGUAGGGUAAAAGCCUACCAAGGCGACGAUCCAUAGCUGGUCUGAGAGGAUGGUCAGCCACACUGGGACUGAGACACGGCCCAGACUCCUACGGGAGGCAGCAGUGGGGAAUAUUGGACAAUGGGCGAAAGCCUGAUCCGGCAAUGCCGCGUGAGUGAUGAAGGCCUUAGGGUUGUAAAGCUCUUUUACCCGGGAUGAUAAUGACAGUACCGGGAGAAUAAGCUCCGGCUAACUCCGUG
rnacentral:rRNA from 1 species